rnacentral:rRNA from 1 species
UACGUAAGGGGCGAGCGUUGUUCGGAUUGACUGGGUGUAAAGGGUCUGUAGGUGGUUCUGUAAGUCGGGCGUGAAAUCUGAGGGCUCAACCCUCAAACUGCGCUCGAUACUGCGGGACUUGAGUAUUGGAGAGGUAAGCGGAAUUUACGGUGUAGCGGUGAAAUGCGUAGAUAUCGUAAAGAACACCGGUGGCGAAGGCGGCUUACUGGCCAAAUACUGACACUAAGGGACGAAGGCGUGGGGAGCAAACAGGAUUAGAAACCCCGGUAGU